GAUGAACGCUAGCGGCAGGCCUAACACAUGCAAGUCGAGGGGCAGCACGAUUGAGCUUGCUAAAUUGGUGGCGACCGGCGCACGGGUGCGUAACGCGUAUGCAACCUACCUUAUACUGGGGUAUAGCCCGAAGAAAUUCGGAUUAAUCCCCCAUAGCAUUAUCGAUUCGCAUGUUUUGAUAACUAAAGGUUACGGUAUAA
rnacentral:rRNA from 1 species